ensembl:lncRNA
UUCCUCCCUUGCUGAGCUAAUCGGAUGUUUGUGUUUUUUACGUAAUGUCCUUGAACGCACCUCGUGUGUGGCGUUGUUUUUCUCCAUAGCUGCACAGUUGUUCGCUAGUUCUCUCCUGUGCACGUCUGAACUGGAUGCAUGUUGCAUUUUUUCUUCUUUAACCUGCUGUGUGUAAAUGAUGAAGAACCACAGCCAGCCACAGUUAUCCACAAGUAGCUACAGUUGUCUACAGUGCAGCACAGAGUUAUCUGCAACAACAAUAAACAUCAUUAACCUGGAAAGUCUGGCUGCCGUGUUCUUUAACGGGGACACCUUCAUACCUUGUGCCACUCUGAAAAUACCUACCUGGAGAACCCUCACUCCUUUUUACCCAGAUAAUUUCAUGUAUUGCAUAAAAACUCACACUUUUAUUCAUGUGCUAACCAAUGUUCCCUGUAAUUUUUCCUGAGUCUGAGCAAACACACAAACUCCCUGAGCGUCCCUUGGACCACUAUGUUAAGUUAAAGGAGUUUUAUUCGUGACGUAUAACCAAUCAAAUCACUCCAGAAGACAGAGCGACCACAGCUGCAUGCCUUCGUCCACCCGGCCUCCGUUGACUCGUCCUGCCUGCCGUCUCUGGAGCUGAAGCUGGAUUGGAACAGACUAAAGUACAGUCCAAUCACGAUGCCAGCUGCCUCUCAAAAGGCUCCUUCAUCUGGCAGGUGGCAGCACUUCUUCUGAGGGGAAGCUGAGCUGGCCCGGCAGAACUUUGGAGAUGUGUUCCAGUGGUUGGUGGAUGUGUGGGGAGAUAGAGAGGGACCUUUGAAUUGUUCAGAAAGGAAAACAGAGAACCCAUUGGUAGUUUUAGUUUAGGGUGCUACUGCGGUGUGUUUUUGGGUUUUAAGAGGUGAACAGGAAGAGUUUUUUUCGUAUUGAUUAUCUUUUACUUUGUUCCUGGUUGGAAUGCCCAUCAAUGUCAACGUGAAGUUCACUUUUAGUUCAGUUUAUUUAUUUUUGUUUUACUAACACCCAUUUGUUUUUAACCCCCUCACAUGUUGUG